UGUAGUUGUAUUUUAUUUCCAACUGUGACUUUAAACUAUUUUGUCCUUUUUAUGCCUAUUUUAGCUGAAUUUAGAAGUCUUCUAUUUAAAUUCUCCAGACAGUGACCAGGUUGCUGCCUUUAUAUUUUUUGGUAAUUAAUUUGGAUUAAGCUUGUAUAUUUCUUGUUGCAAAGAGGUUUUCCAGACCUCAGAUUUUUGUAGCUGCCUUAUGGGUUUUUUUGGGGAAAAAAAAAAAAAAAAACCCAAACCAAAACAAACCAUCAGAAGUGCAUGUGGUAUUCUGGGAGUGUUCUCUUUGUGAAGGUAAUGUCUCUUCUUUUUGCUGCUUAUCUGUUUGUCCCUUCAAGGAUUGCAUUGCUCUUUCUGAUCCUAGAAUGUAUUUGGAGGGUCUAUGUUCUCUCACUCUUCUUCAGUUGUGCAAAAUGUCUUUUUAGAAUGUGAUUUUCCAGGAUACAGUACACUGAUUUCAGUCACUCCUUCCCCAUACAUAAGGUUCCAGUGGACUUUCCUCUUAGAGUCCAACUUUGGUUUUAUUCAGGUACAUUUGGCAGCUAUUUCAGGCUGUUAUGCAUUAAUUCAAGAGGGUGAACCUGUUCAAAAAGACACCCAGAAAAGCCUUGUUCAUCCUAGUGAUGAUUUUGGUGCUGACAAGGCUGAUGAACUGCUCAUUUCCUACAAGUUUUAAGAUUUUUCUGUGUACAUUUACUUUGCUGGAGAUGGAGAUCUCAGGCUCCUGACUGAGUCAGUUUGUAGCAGGUUUUACAGAAGUAAAUUAGUGUUUCAGGCUUUAGAUUUCUGUCAUGUGAAAUAAGUUCCAUGUCAGUGAACUUACCUGAGAUUCAGUCUUCUCCAUAUCACUUCAAAGAUCUUUGCUGCCCUGGUCCUUUUAAAGUUUCUAUGAUUUUUUCUUUUGACAUAAGUGUCUACAUAAGCCUUGAUCCUUAAAGGUUCACAUCUAAAAUAGUAGCAGAUAUAUGCUCAUGUUUCUGUCACCAGGUUUGUCUGAAACUUGAUGUCUAUACCACUUGUUACAAAGCAUGGUUUCCCACUUCCAAUGCUAGCGGAAGCGCAGCAUUCCCAGAUCAUACUAUAUGCUUACGUAGUGAACUUAAGCUGUUUUGAAGUGGUGUAGGGAUGCUGCCUGUCCAGCCAGAAGUCAUCUCCUGUGAGACCACAGAGCUAAGAACUGCCACUGAGAUGAAAUUCUAGAGUUCUUGCUAAGUCUAGAGCUGUAAGUAAGAUUGCGUCAACAAAAGUUCAGGGGGUGUUCCAUCUUUUCAGCAUUAUGCUUUGGGAGAACAAGGUGGAAUCUUACUUCUCUUUCCAUGCUGGGUUCAUAUUUCUUACUGAUAUUUACAUUAGCUUCCUUAUCUCUUGGUGAUGACAGUUUGUGUGUUGUUUUUUGUAAUUUUUUGAGGGUAUUGUUUUUUGUUUUUUGACUUAUUGCAUUUGUGCUCAUUUCUUUUGAAAGUCUUUCAGGGCUGUUAAUGCAUGCAAAUGUGCAUUUUCCAAUGACUUAGUUCUGCUUCUUUGAAUUUCCUGUAACCAGUUUCACUAAUGUUUAUGUUCCUUCAGGAUACUUCAAAACUUAUUUAUUGGGUGUUUAUCUAUGUUGAUCUUACUGAAUCUGCCCUUUUCUCUAUUUGAACCCCUUUUUUGCUCUCUUGAAAGAACUUCUUGUAAUGUUAGCUUUCCAUGCUGACAGUGCUACUUUGAAGGGGGUUUUGGAUCAGUGACAGCUUGAAGAAUUCUGCUAGCUUUGUACUCGAGAGCUAAGUCUCGGAACUGUUAGAUAUUCCCUGCAGAGAAACAGACUUGCAAACUGAGCCUGAAGAACAUAAAACGGAAAAAAAGCACAGCGCACAGAUUGAAAACUGAAAUGGAUAUCUGCGCUUUGAUACUUCUAAUGACUUGAAUAUGAACAUCAUCUGUAUUUUAAUGUAUUUGAGGUUCAGAUUUAUAGCUUAGGCUCCAUCUGACAAAUAUGGCAAAAACUACAAGACUUGAGAUUAAAAGACUGAAUUAUGAAAACAUAUGUUGUUGCUUUGCAUUGCAUAAAAUAUACAUAAUUUUCUCUAACGGUACCUUUUAUCAAAAUGAAAAAUAACUUCAUUUGCUCGUUCACAUAAAUUGUUUGCUGCUGUGCUAAGCAUUUUUCUGUAGUAUCCAUGCCUUUAACCCAAGAUACAUUACAACAAGUAAACAACCAUUGUUGCAGUGUUGUCCUUUUGAAAUAACUUCGAACUGCAAAAAAGUUUAAAAAAAAAAAAACCAAACCACUUCCUUGAAAUUGUACCAAAAUUUCAUUUGAUUCCUAGAUUUAGAGUAUAAAACAGGAAAAAGGGAAUUGUCUGUUACUGAAAAUUGUAUAGGCUCCUGAGAAACUUGGAUGUACUGAACAUUUUUAUCUGUUGGGUCCAUAUAACAAUCAAGGAAACAAGAUAUUUUUAUCCUAUUUUGGGAAGUUUGGUAGUGCCAAACAAUUUCUUCUUUCUUUCUUUGACAAAAUCUUUAAAAAUAAAACUCUGUCCUCAUGAUCAUGAUAGUGCUGUCUUUGAUUAGACAUACACAGAAGAGUGUUGACGAUGAAUGUUGAUCUAAAGAUGAUCAAGUAUCAAAUUACUUAUCUGUAAAUGUAUUCAUCUUCUCAAAUGUUUAAUUUACAGUUUUAACUGUUGUAUGCUCUCUUUGACAUAUUGCCUUCUUCUUUCA